UCCCUUCAUUGUUUACUCUCACAAUUAACUUAACAUUUUCUUUUUCUCCUCCUUUCUCAUUCUAAUUCUCAUUCUAAUGUCUCCGGCAGAUUUGUUUUCAUUUUUUUCCUUCUGCAAUUGCCAUUGCUUGUGCGUGAAGACUAAUUAUAUAUAAAGCAUGGUUCAUGAUUCAAAGUCGCGGUUACAGCCUAGGUUUCGGAAGGCUGUUUUUUUUUCCUUUCUGGUUUCGGCCUAGGAAAUCAUUAUAUCAGGUAUGAA
rnacentral:lncRNA from 1 species